rnacentral:lncRNA from 1 species
ACCACCACCGUCUCCUUCUCUCUCAAACCUCCCUCAGACUCCGCCACCCCUCGCCGCCCCUCCAAACCCCUCAAAACCACUCCAACCUCAAACCCCCUCGCCAACAAGCUAUGGCUCACAAGCAAACUCUCCCCUCCCCCUCCUCCGCCACCGCCACCGCCUCCGCCGCCACCGCCGCCCGUAGAUGAAACCGGAACCAUCGCGGAAGAUAGCGGCGGCGACGAAGGCUCCAAUUCCGAUUCCUCAACCGAUUUUCGACAGCCGGGAAAGAUCUUCGUGGGGAACCUUCCGGCGUGGGUGAAGAAGCC